rnacentral:rRNA from 1 species
GGCGGCGUGCUUAACACAUGCAAGUCGAGCGGUAAGGCCCUUCGGGGUACACGAGCGGCGAACGGGUGAGUAACACGUGGGUGAUCUGCCUUGCACUCUGGGAUAAGCCUGGGAAACUGGGUCUAAUACCGGAUAUGAGCCUGGACUGCAUGUUCCGGGUUGGAAAGGUUUACUGGUGCGAGAUGGGCCCGCGGCCUAUCAGCUUGUUGGUGAGGUAACGGCUCACCAAGGCGACGACGGGUAGCCGACCUGAGAGGGUGACCGGCCACACUGGGACUGAGACACGGCCCAGACUCCUACGGGAGGCAGCAGUGGGGAAUAUUGCACAAUGGGCGCAAGCCUGAUGCAGCGACGCCGCGUGAGGGAUGACGGCCUUCGGGUUGUAAACCUCUUUUGACAGGGACGAAGCGCAAGUGACGGUACCUGUAGAAGAAGCACCGGCCAAUUACGUGCCAGCAGCCGCGGUAAUACGUAGGGUGCGAGCGUUGUCCGGAAUUACUGGGCGUAAAGAGCUUGUAGGCGGUUUGUCGCGUCGAUUGUGAAAACUUGCAGCUCAACUGCAAGCUUGCAGUCGAUACGGGCAGACUAGAGUACUGCAGGGGAGACUGGAAUUCCUGGUGUAGCGGUGAAAUGCGCAGAUAUCAGGAGGAACACCGGUGGCGAAGGCGGGUCUCUGGGCAGUAACUGACGCUGAGAAGCGAAAGCGUGGGUAGCGAACAGGAUUAGAUACCCUGGUAGUCCACGCCGUAAACGGUGGGUACUAGGUGUGGGUUUCCUUCCACGGGAUCCGUGCCGUAGCUAACGCAUUAAGUACCCCGCCUGGGGAGUACGGCCGC